AGAGAGAGAGAGAUGUCCUACAUGUCAGAUAGAGAGAGAGAGAGAGAUGUCCUACAUGUCAGAUAGAGAGAGAGAUGUCCUACAUGUCAGAUAGAGAGAGAUGUCCUACAUGUCAGAUAGAGAGAGAGAUGUCCUACAUGUCAGAUAGAGAGAGAGAGAUGUCCUACAUGUCAGAUAGAGAGAGAGAGAUGUCCUACAUGUCAGAUAGAGAGAGAGAGAUGUCCUACAUGUCAGAUAGAGAGAGAGAGAUGUCCUACAUGUCAGAUAGAGAGAGAGAUGUCCUACAUGUCAGAGAGAGAGAGAGAGAUGUCCUACAUGUCAGAGAGAGAGAUGUCCUACAUGUCAGAGAGAGAGAGAGAGAGAGAGAUGUCCUACAUGUCGGAGAGAAAGAGAGAGAGAGAGAUGUCCUACAUGUCAGAGAGAGAGAGAGAGAGAUGUCCUACAUGUCAGAGAGAGAGAGAGAGAGAGAUGUCCUACAUGUCAGAUAGAGAGAGAGAGAGAUGUCCUACAUGUCAGAUAGAGAGAGAGAUGUCCUACAUGUCAGAGAGAGAGAGAUGUUCUACAUGUCAGAUAGAGAGAGAGAGAUAGAGAGAUGUCCUACAUGUCAGAGAGAGAGAGAGAGAGAUGUCCUACAUGUCAGAUAGAGAGAGAGAGAUAGAUGUCCUACAUGUCAGAGAGAGAGAGAGAGAUGUCCUACAUGUCAGAUAGAGAGAGAGAUGUCCUACAUGUCAGAUAGAGAGAGAGAUAGAUGUCCUACAUGUCAGAGAGAGAGAGAUGUCCUACAUGUCAGAGAGAGAGAGAUGUCCUACAUGUCAGAGAGAGAUAGAUGUCCUACAUGUCAGAGAGAGAGAGAUGUCCUACAUGUCAGAUAGAGAGAGAUGUCCUACAUGUCAGAGAGAGAGAGAUGUCCUACAUGUCAGAUAGAGAGAGAUGUCCUACAUGUCAGAUAGAGAGAGAGAGAGAUAGAGAUGUCCUACAUGUCAGAUAGAGAGAGAGAUGUCCUACAUGUCAGAUAGAGAGAGAGAUGUCCUACAUGUCAGAUAGAGAGAGAGAGAGAUGUCCUACAUGUCAGAUAGAGAGAGAGA
ensembl:lncRNA